rnacentral:rRNA from 1 species
UACGAAGGGGGCUAGCGUUGUUCGGAAUCACUGGGCGUAAAGCGUACGUAGGCGGACGAAUAAGUCAGGGGUGAAAGCCUGGAGCUCAACUCCAGAACUGCCUUUGAUACUGUUCGUCUUGAGUCCGGGAGAGGUGAGUGGAACUGCUAGUGUAGAGGUGAAAUUCGUAGAUAUUAGCAAGAACACCAGUGGCGAAGGCGGCUCACUGGCCCGGUACUGACGCUGAGGUACGAAGGCCAGGGGAGCAAACGGG